CCUGGAAAAGAAAGGAGGAACGGCCUUCAUGAUGGGGAUGCGUGGGAAGGACGGAACCCAGAGCCCGGCAGCUCUUGGUCCUCCGCGCAGCGCCCCGGGGUCCCCGCGGUCACCUCGCUGCUCCUCCUCCGCCCGCCUCUGCUCCUGCAGCUGCUUCGAAAGCAUCGCGACUGGGACGCGGAAAGGAGACAGAAACAAGGAAAAUAGGGAAUGAGGAAAUGAAGGUAAGGUGUCAAGGUCAACUCACGCUUUACUCAGCCAGGCCUCAGAGCACUGCAUCCUUCCAGGACCCUCACACGGAGAACACGAUGCCUAGCUAUGCAAGGGAGAGCGCGCACCCAACUGACCUGCUAUGUGGAGCACAAACUCCUUCUUCUGGUCCAGCAAGGGGUUCUGGAUGGAGCAGGACACGUUGCUAGGGGCUGUCCCUCCGGCAACCACAGAUGUCUCCAGAUGGAACAGGCCUUGAACAUCCUGGAAGAUGGCUUCAGACUCUGGAGACAGGCACUGGCCUCUAUGGUCCCUCCACUGAGCCUUGGGUUUUGGGUACCAGCCAGUGGAGCUACAUCUUAGCUGAAUGCCUCCUUCCUUGUAGCCCUCAAGGGAAAUAUGAGGGUCUGAGCCCAGCCCUGAGAGAUACAAAAAAGAAUGAGAAAAGAGAGACUGUUUCCAAGAAGUUGGACAUGAAGUCCACAUCACACCAUUCACCAUUUGCAGUCACCGUAAGACAUCAGGAACUGUGACUGCUUAAUGCAUGGUUGAGCUGACACCUCCCCGCCUAUCAACUUCUAACGACUGCCUAGGUCACAGUGGCAUGUGUUAACAGAACACUACUGUACUACUUUGGAGGGACAUUGGAAAUUUGGGUGAAGAAGGCUACAGGCAUUUAGUUAUAUUGUGCGAGAGACAAUUCUUUGGAAAGAACUAUCUUACCUCAAAUUCAAUAGGUCGCCCUCUUUUUGAUUCUCAGUAGAGGUCAAGUUCUUGCAUUAUAUUUCUUUGUAGUCUCAUGUAGUUAACUGACUCUUUAUCUGCUAUCCUCUGUCUAUCUUUUCCAGGAUUAGAGAUUGAACCUAGGCCUUUGCACAUGCUAGUCAAGUGCUCUACCACUGAGCCACAUACUCAGCCAUAUGUGUUGAAUAGCAAAACAUUAACAUGGUCAAAAUAUCAAUCCUGAGCCAAGUGUGGUGGUGCAUUCCUGUAAUCCUGGCAUUCUAGGAGGCUGAGGCAAGAGGAUCCCAAGUUCAAGCCCAGCCAGGACAACUUAGUGAUUUAACGACACCUUGUCUCAAAAAAUAAAACAAGAUUAAUGUGAAGGCCAUAAGUUCAAUACUAAAAAAAAGUUAAUUCUGUAAAAAUGUGUAUCCCUAGCCUUCCUCCAUCCUUUUUUAUUCUAUUAUAUCCCCUUCUCCUUCAGUCACCAAUUUCAUGAGUUUCUAAUACGUUUUCAUUUGUUACUUUUUGCAAUGUUCUUCUUUCUUUUCGGUACACAAAAGUGCAACACAUUACCAAAUCUCUUUUAUAUCUUGAUUUUUUUUCUUUUAAUAAUAUACCUUAGGAAUCACCCAAAACCAUGAUUUAAGUACUCCUCACUUUUCCAGUUACAGCCUAUGGAUCACCCAUGUGAGAGACAGGCUGUGUCUUUUUGGUCAAAACACAAGGCCAAGUAAUUCCAUUUUGGGUUUAAAUGCCCUGGCCACCUCCUCACUACCUCCCCUCCACUCCUGUUAAUAUCCUGAGCUCCAACAAGUGCUGACCAUAUACCUUUUCCCAAAACACAGCUGGUUUCCAGGACAAAGCACCAAGAACCGUGCAUCCCAAACUGAGCCUUCCUGCUCUCUAACCACCCCCACCUAAGAAUCAAGGCCUUUUGCUCCCAAUGCCAUGCCUUGUACCACUCUAGUCAAACACGAUAAGAUUGUAAGCCUUUGAACUCAGCCAAUGAAUGUAACUCUCAGUUGCUUUUUCUGCAUUAGGGAUAAAAGGAGCAGCCUUCUUUUGUCCUGUGUGUCUAACUAUUUCGUGCUCACAGAACUAAAUGCCUUUUUGGAAUGCCUUCUGCAGAACUAAAUGCCUUUUUGAAAAUUCUUGAUGUCUAAUUGCUUUAUUAUCUGCAUCAACAAUUUGAGUCUAGGGCUUAUUUCCAACACCCAGAAGAUGGCUAGACCAUAUUCAGCUUCUAGGUGUGGACAAUCUCCACUCCACAAUUAGAAUUAAUGCAAUGCAGAUUAGACUGAUACAGAAUGGACAUUAUGGGUUUGUAUCGCUAAGGUAAAUUCUGGGAAGUGGGACUGUUGUAUCCUAGGAAGGCAGACAGAAUCCCACUAGGCCCCAGGCAGAGCUUCUUGACUUUGAGCUCCACCAACCACACAAGAGAAAGCCACUUUUCCUAGAGCCACCAGGACAGUGUCCUGGAACUUCUGAAUUUCCUCCAAUUUGAAAGAUAAAAAUUUACAUUUUGAAGUAGUUUAAUUUCCUUUCUCUAAUUAAAAGCAAUAAUUAUCAUCUUUAUGUUUAACAGUCACAGCA